rnacentral:rRNA from 1 species
AUAAGCUUUUGUAAAAUGUAAAAAGUUUUACGAAUAAGGACUGGGUAAGACUAGUGCCAGCCGCCGCGGUAAUACUAUCGGUCCAAGUCGCAGCCGUUUUUAUUGGGUCUAAAACAUCCGUAGCUUGCCUAUUAAGUUCCUAUGUGAAAUUUUAUAUCUUAAAUAUGAAGCGAGCAAGAAGUACUGGUACGCUAAAGACUGAAAGACGUAAAGAGUAUGUUCGGAGUAGCGGUAAAAUGUGUUAAUCCUGGACAGACUUACAAUAGCGAAGGCACUUUACGAGGACAGUUCUGACAGUAAGGGAUGAAGGCUAGGGGCGCAAAAGGGAUUAGAUACCCCUUGUAGUCCUAGCAGUAAACACUGCACACUAAACAUUAGUGCCUCUUCGGGAGGUAUUAGUGCUGAAGGGAAGCCGAAGAGUGUGCUACCUGGGAAGUAUAGUCGCAAGGCUGAAACUUAAAGGAAUUGGCGGGGAGACACUACAACAGGUGACGCGUGCGAUUUAAUUAGAUUAUACCCCGUGAACCUCACCAGGAGCCGACAGCAGAAUGAAGGUCAGUUUGAAGGGCUUACCUGACACGCUGAGAGGAGCUGCAUGGCCGACGUCAGCCUGUGCCGUGAGGUGACCUGUUAAAUCAGAUAACAGGCAAGAC